AGGGUGUAAACGCUGCAGACUUGGUGUUGGAAGCCCUUUGGGGGCAUUCAGUGCCGGAGAGAAGUUGUUAAGUCUGCUACUUGGGGAGUACGUCCGCAAGGAUGAAACUUAAAGGAAUUGGCGGGGGAGCACCGCAACGGGAGGAGCGUGCGGUUUAAUUGGAUUCAACACCGUAAAACUACACCAGGGAAGACUGUUACAUGAAAGCCGAGAUGAAGACUCUGCUAGAUUUUCAGAGAGGUGGUGCAUGGCGUCAGUGACU
rnacentral:rRNA from 1 species